rnacentral:rRNA from 1 species
UACGAACGGUGCAAGCGUUACUCGGAAUCACUGGGCGUAAAGCGCACGUAGGCGGACUCGUAGGUCAGUUGUGAAAUACCUGGGCUCAACCCGGGAACUGCAGCUGAAACCGCUUGUCUUGAAUACCUGAGAGGGUGGGGGAAUACCUGGUGGAGAAGCGAAAUUCGUAGAGAUCAGGUGGAACACCGGAGGCGAAGGCGCCUGCCUGGCAGUGUAUUGACGCUGAGGUGCGAAAGUGCGGGGAGCAAACAGG